AGUGAUUGGGAAGCACGGCAUAGUAAGCCAGCUGGCUUCUGUCGUUGUGUUGGCUCAGAGCUCAGGCCUGUUGUAUACAUUUGUAACUAACUUGGCUGGGUGUGCUGAGCUGAUUUCAAAGCUGCCUUCUAUUAACUCGUUCUACUCCGUGGAACCGGAGGUCUCUGUCAGUUUAUCCACUGUCAUCUUUCCUUCUGCUCUGGAGUCCAGCGCUGACCCCGUGAUAGAACUGAGGAGCUGAAAUCACCCCGUGUCUGCAGAGUUGAGCAUUGCUACAGCUCUGCUGGAGAAAGAGAGAGAGGAGAGAGAGAGAGAGAGAGAGAGAGAGAGAGGAGAGAGAAGAGAGAGAAGAGAGAGAAGAAGAGAGAGAGAAGAGAGAGAGAGGAGAGAGAGAGGAGAGAGAGAAGAGAGAAAGAAAAGAAGAAGAAGAGAGAGAAGAAAGAGAGGAGAGAGAAGAAGAGAAGAAGAGAGAGAAGAAGAAAGAGAGGAGAGAGAAGAAGAAGAGAGAGAGAGAAGAAGAGAGAGAGAGAAGAAGAGAGAGAGAGAAGAGAAAGAGGAGAGAGAGAGGAGAGA